UACGUAGGGGGCAAGCGUUGUCCGGAUUUAUUGGGCGUAAAGAGCGUGUCGGCGGCCGUACAGGUCAGCUGUGAAAACUCGAGGCUCAACCUCGAGACGUCGGUUGAAACCGUAUGGCUAGAGUCCGGAAGAGGAGAGUGGAAUUCCCGGUGUAGCGGUGAAAUGCGCAGAUAUCGGGAAGAACACCCGUGGCGAAGGCGGCUCUCUGGGACGGUACUGACGCUGAGACGCGAAAGCGUGGGGAGCGAACAGG
rnacentral:rRNA from 1 species